rnacentral:rRNA from 1 species
GGCGUGUGACUGCGUACCUUUUGUAUAAUGGGUCAGCGACUUAUAUUCUGUAGCAAGGUUAACCGAAUAGGGGAGCCGAAGGGAAACCGAGUCUUAACUGGGCGUUAAGUUGCAGGGUAUAGACCCGAAACCCGGUGAUCUAGCCAUGGGCAGGUUGAAGGUUGGGUAACACUAACUGGAGGACCGAACCGACUAAUGUUGAAAAAUUAGCGGAUGACUUGUGGCUGGGGGUGAAAGGCCAAUCAAACCGGGAGAUAGCUGGUUCUCCCCGAAAGCUAUUUAGGUAGCGCCUCGUGAAUUCAUCUCCGGGGGUAGAGCACUGUUUCGGCAAGGGGGUCAUCCCGACUUACCAACCCGAUGCAAACUGCGAAUACCGGAGAAUGUUAUCACGGGAGACACACGGCGGGUGCUAACGUCCGUCGUGAAGAGGGAAACAACCCAGACCGCCAGCUAAGGUCCCAAAGUCAUGGUUAAGUGGGAAACGAUGUGGGAAGGCCCAGACAGCCAGGAUGUUGGCUUAGAAGCAGCCAUCAUUUAAAGAAAGCGUAAUAGCUCACUGGUCGAGUCGGCCUGCGCGGAAGAUGUAACGGGGCUAAACCAUGCACCGAAGCUGCGGCAGCGACGCUGAUGCGUUGUUGGGUAGGGGAGCGUUCUGUAAGCCUGCGAAGGUGUGCUGUGAGGCAUGCUGGAGGUAUCAGAAGUGCGAAUGCUGACAUAAGUAACGAUAAAGCGGGUGAAAAGCCCGCUCGCCGGAAGACCAAGGGUUCCUGUCCAACGUUAAUCGGGGCAGGGUGAGUCGACCCCUAAGGCGAGGCCGAAAGGCGUAGUCGAUGGGAAACAGGUUAAUAUUCCUGUACUUGGUGUUACUGCGAAGGGGGGACGGAGAAGGCUAUGUUGGCCGGGCGACGGUUGUCCCGGUUUAAGCGUGUAGGCUGGUUUUCCAGGCAAAUCCGGAAAAUCAAGGCUGAGGCGUGAUGACGAGGCACUACGGUGCUGAAGCAACAAAUGCCCUGCUUCCAGGAAAAGCCUCUAAGCAUCAGGUAACAUCAAAUCGUACCCCAAACCGACACAGGUGGUCAGGUAGAGAAUACCAAGGCGCUUGAGAGAACUCGGGUGAAGGAACUAGGCAAAAUGGUGCCGUAACUUCGGGAGAAGGCACGCUGAUAUGUAGGUGAAGCGACUUGCUCGUGGAGCUGAAAUCAGUCGAAGAUACCAGCUGGCUGCAACUGUUUAUUAAAAACACAGCACUGUGCAAACACGAAAGUGGACGUAUACGGUGUGACGCCUGCCCGGUGCCGGAAGGUUAAUUGAUGGGGUCAGCGCAAGCGAAGCUCUUGAUCGAAGCCCCGGUAAACGGCGGCCGUAACUAUAACGGUCCUAAGGUAGCGAAAUUCCUUGUCGGGUAAGUUCCGACCUGCACGAAUGGCGUAAUGAUGGCCAGGCUGUCUCCACCCGAGACUCAGUGAAAUUGAACUCGCUGUGAAGAUGCAGUGUACCCGCGGCAAGACGGAAAGACCCCGUGAACCUUUACUAUAGCUUGACACUGAACAUUGAGCCUUGAUGUGUAGGAUAGGUGGGAGGCUUUGAAGUGUGGACGCCAGUCUGCAUGGAGCCGACCUUGAAAUACCACCCUUUAAUGUUUGAUGUUCUAACGUUGACCCGUAAUCCGGGUUGCGGACAGUGUCUGGUGGGUAGUUUGACUGGGGCGGUCUCCUCCUAAAGAGUAACGGAGGAGCACGAAGGUUGGCUAAUCCUGGUCGGACAUCAGGAGGUUAGUGCAAUGGCAUAAGCCAGCUUGACUGCGAGCGUGACGGCGCGAGCAGGUGCGAAAGCAGGUCAUAGUGAUCCGGUGGUUCUGAAUGGAAGGGCCAUCGCUCAACGGAUAAAAGGUACUCCGGGGAUAACAGGCUGAUACCGCCCAAGAGUUCAUAUCGACGGCGGUGUUUGGCACCUCGAUGUCGGCUCAUCACAUCCUGGGGCUGAAGUAGGUCCCAAGGGUAUGGCUGUUCGCCAUUUAAAGUGGUACGCGAGCUGGGUUUAGAACGUCGUGAGACAGUUCGGUCCCUAUCUGCCGUGGGCGCUGGAGAACUGAGGGGGGCUGCUCCUAGUACGAGAGGACCGGAGUGGACGCAUCACUGGUGUUCGGGUUGUCAUGCCAAUGGCACUGCCCGGUAGCUAAAUGCGGAAGAGAUAAGUGCUGAAAGCAUCUAAGCACGAAACUUGCCCCGAGAUGAGUUCUCCCUGACUCCUUGAGAGUCCUGAAGGAACGUUGAAGACGACGACGUUGAUAGGCCGGGUGUGUAAGCGCAGCGAUGCGUUGAGCUAACCGGUACUAAUGAACCGUGAGGCUUAACCUU